GACGGAGGGUGCAAGCGUUGUUCGGAUUGACUGGGCGUAAAGGGCGUGUAGGCGGUCGGCCAAGUCUGAUGUGAAAGCCCGAGGCUCAGCCUCGGAAGUGCGUCGGAAACUAGUCGGCUGGAGCGCGAUAGAGGAGGGUGGAAUUCCUGGUGUAGCGGUGAAAUGCGUAGAUAUCAGGAGGAACACCGGCGGCGAAGGCGGCCCUCUGGAUCGUUGCUGACGCUGAUACGCGAAAGCGUGGGGAGCGAACAGG
rnacentral:rRNA from 1 species